GAUGAACGCUGGCGGCGUGCCUAAUACAUGCAAGUCGAGCGAACGGACGAGAAGCUUGCUUCUCUGAUGUUAGCGGCGGACGGGUGAGUAACACGUGGAUAACCUACCUAUAAGACUGGGCUAACUUCGGGAAACCGGAGCUAAUACCGGAUAAUAUUUUGAACCGCAUGGUUCAAAAAUGAAAGACGGUCUUGCUGUCACUUAUAGAUGGAUCCGCGCUGCAUUAGCUAGUUGGUAAGGUAACGGCUUACCAAGGCAACGAUGCAUAGCCGACCCGAGAGGGUGAUCGGCCACACGGGAACUGAGGCACGGUCCAGACUCCUACGGGAGGCAGCAGUAGGGAAUCUUCCGCAAUGGGCGAAAGCCUGACGGAGCAACGCCGCGUGAGUGAUGAAGGUCUUCGGAUCGUAAAACUCUGUUAUUAGUGAAGAACAUAUGUGUAAGUAACUGUGCACAUCUUGACGGUACCUAAUCAGAAAGCCACGGCUAACUACGUG
rnacentral:rRNA from 1 species